GGGCAGAUACCGAAGUGGUCAAACGGGGGAGACUGUAAAUCUCCUGGCUCACGCCUUCGAAGGUUCGAACCCUUCUCUGCCCACCA
rnacentral:tRNA from 1 species